GGUGGUAAUGCCGGAUGCUCCGACUCCUCGCAUGGGGUGUCGGGAAAGAUUAUAUCGGUAUGGGAUGGGGUCGCGUCCUAUCAGGUAGUCGGCGGGGUAACGGCCCACCGAGCCUACGACGGGUAGCCGGCCUGAGAGGGCGACCGGCCACAUUGGGACUGAGAUACGGCCCAGACUCCUACGGGAGGCAGCAGUGGGGAAUAUUGCACAAUGGGCGCAAGCCUGAUGCAGCGACGCCGCGUGCGGGAUGACGGCCUUCGGGUUGUAAACCGCUUUUGAUCGGGAGCAAGCCUUCGGGUGAGUGUACCUUUCGAAUAAGCACCGGCUAACUACGUGCCAGCAGCCGCGGUAAUACGUAGGGUGCAAGCGUUAUCCGGAAUUAUUGGGCGUAAAGGGCUCGUAGGCGGUUCGUCGCGUCCGGUGUGAAAGUCCAUCGCUUAACGGUGGAUCUGCGCCGGGUACGGGCGGGCUGGAGUGCGGUAGGGGAGACUGGAAUUCCCGGUGUAACGGUGGAAUGUGUAGAUAUCGGAAAGAACACCA
rnacentral:rRNA from 1 species